rnacentral:rRNA from 1 species
UCCGCAAUGGGCGAAAGCCUGACGGAGCAACGCCGCGUGAGUGAUGAAGGUCUUCGGAUCGUAAAACUCUGUUAUCAGGGAAGAACAAAUGUGUAAGUAACUGUGCACAUCUUGACGGUACCUGAUCAGAAAGCCACGGCUAACUACGUGCCAGCAGCCGCGGUAAUACGUAGGUGGCAAGCGUUAUCCGGAAUUAUUGGGCGUAAAGCGCGCGUAGGCGGUUUUUUAAGUCUGAUGUGAAAGCCCACGGCUCAACCGUGGAGGGUCAUUGGAAACUGGAAAACUUGAGUGCAGAAGAGGAAAGUGGAAUUCCAUGUGUAGCGGUGAAAUGCGCAGAGAUAUGGAGGAACACCAGUGGCGAAGGCGACUUUCUGGUCUGUAACUGACGCUGAUGUGCGAAAGCGUGGGGAUCAAACAGGAUUAGAUACCCUGGUAGUCCACGCCGUAAACGAUGAGUGCUAAGUGUUAGGGGGUUUCCGCCCCUUAGUGCUGCAGCUAACGCAUUAA